GGAGAGGUGGCCGAGUGGUUGAAGGCGCACGCUUGGAAAGCGUGUAUACGUUAAUUCGUAUCGAGGGUUCGAAUCCCUCUCUCUCCG
rnacentral:tRNA from 1 species